rnacentral:rRNA from 1 species
UACGAAGGGGCUAGCGUUGCUCGGAAUCACUGGGCGUAAAGGGUGCGUAGGCGGGUCUUUAAGUCAGGGGUGAAAUCCUGGAGCUCAACUCCCAGAACUGCCUUUGAUACUGAGGAUCUUGAGUUCGGGAGAGGUGAGUGGAAACUGCGAGUGUAGAGGUGAAAUUCGUAGAUAUUCGCAAAGAACACCAGUGGCGAAGGCGGCUCACUGGCCCGAUACUGACGCUGAGGUGCGAAAGCGUGGGGAGCAAACAGG